AACAGAAACUGUAACCAGAGUAAAUGUGGACUGAAGGAAGUUUGUCCUGAGUGUUUAUGUGAAGAAGAAACAGAUAAGAUUUCAAUUUGAAGGGUGUGUUCUCUCACACACACACACACACACACACACACACACACACGUUUGCUUACACUGAGAGGAUGUUUUCUGUCAGACAGGAGGAAGAGGAGGAAGAGGAGGGGGAAAAACAACAACCUUUUGAAAAGGCUAAAAGAUUCUUUUCCUAACUCAUCACCACCUCUCCUCAGCGGCCAUGUUUGUUUGGGUCAGUGGGCGGAGUCAGAUGCAGGAAUCCUCAGCGCUGACAGAGUUCACUGAGUUGAGUUUCCUCACCUUUAAAUAACAGCUGUGACCUAGAUCUGCUUGCUGGGAAACUCCGCCCCCCCCAGCUCUGAUGUCACCUUUGCUCUCACGGUUCCCCCCGAUCAAUCACAGCGGCCGGAGACGUGGACAUGACGGGACAACACAGACAAACGAACAAAUGUGGACAAAGCGUUUGCAGACACAACAGAACUGUUCUCCCAGCUGCUGCACACUUCUGAUAACACGAGCGUCGGCCAAUCAGAUCGUCACACUGUUGACAGAAGGCGUGUCGUAACAGUCUGACACCUGGUUACUGUGGAUUAAACCGGGGGAAAGUGUUCAGAGAGAAAAACAACACAGAUUAAGACGUGGCUGCUUUGUCUUACUAUGAGACAGACGUCUGUAAAGCACUCACUCUCCCAAACCAAAGU